AGCCAUUCCCACCCUUGUUUCAACCAUCUGAGGAGGUAGUUAGGCGCUGGAGUUAGCGUUGUGAGUGACUUCGGCCAAGGCCAAGGAGGUAAGGGCAAGGC